UUCUCGAGAUUCGUGGACAGAAAAUCAGAAAAGCUUUUGUUUGUGUAACAUUUUAAUUUUUUUCCCCUAAAAACUACUGUUCAUUUUAAAAGACUGUUCUUUAGUUGAUAAGAGAAAACAAAAUCUACUACUGCUGUGCAACUUUUUUGAUUCUUCUACGAAAAAAACUUUUGAGUCUUUCAGAAGAUUUUGUUCCAGAAUUGUGAAAGCAGCACUCAGCAAAGAAAAUGUAGCACUAAAACCUAUCUGUGUGUUUCAAUGGACAAAGUACAAUUCUACACCUGUAUUUCCUCUGUUUCACGUCACAGGCGGCUGUUCCGCUGCCAUUGGCAGCCUGUGCUCCCUCCGUUUCCCUUUUCAUGUUUAGUCUUGAUCUGCCUUUUUCAUUCUUCACUUCUUUCUCUCUUCCCAUUUUCUUGAAACAUCAAUCAAUAAAUAAAUACUAUGAUUCAUCAAUACUCGGGAAGAGGAGGAAGGAAAGAGCUUUCACUCCAUACUAAACGGGUCGACCCUAUUCCCCCCUUCUCCUCUCUUCUCUUCCCCCUCUAUAAAAUCCCAGCCAAAAAGAAGAGAGCUUUCACUCUAUACUAAAAUCAAGAGUGAACUAACUCUAAUAGUUGAGCCAAGCCCAAUCUUAAAGGUCUAAACUUUGAAAGAAGGUGAAAAAACAAAAUGGACAGAGGCUAUAUCGUUGCUGACCUCCCUAACUUCCUUCAGAUUUAUCAUCCUGAACUGUGCUAUUCCAAGCUGAAAAUACCAUCCGGAUUUCUGGAGUUUUUCAAUGGAGAUAUUCACGUCUUUCUGCUUGAAGUUGAAGGUCCAGCUCGGAGAUCUUGGAGGGUUGUUGUAGAAAAGAUCGAAGAGGAUUUCUUUUUCAAGGGUUGUUGGCCAAACUUCGUACAGGAUAAUAACUUGGAGUUUGGAGAUUAUAUGGAGAAGAUGGCUACAUGAAGGAGAACUUAACUGACAUUGAGGAGCUUGAAUUGCAUCCGUUGGAUGAAGAAAAUGCCCAAGAGCUCCGCUAGCUGAUCAAGCACUUGAUGGGCCAGUAAACUCUAUGAGCUAUGUCACUUUCUUCGAAGUUGUCCUGAAGGAGCCCGACUUUCGGAAGAUGCUGGUAAGUUUAUUUUUGUAAAUAUUUUGCAUCUAUGCAUAAAUCCGUAACGCCUCCUAUAUAUUCUCAAAAGUGUCAUUAUAUGACUGAUUUAGUGUCAAAAAGGUAAAAUAGCAUGGAAAAUUCCUGCCUAGUAACUUUUAUCUCGUGGCAUUUUUAGGUCCUCUCACAAUGUUUAGUUUAUAGAGAUAAAUAUUUAAGUCCAAUACAAUAAUUUCUCAACAAAACAGAAGCUUCAAGAUAUUCUAGUGAGCUAGUUGGCUCUGAUUUUUUUGGAAGAUAGAGUUCUGUGAAAUGUUGUGAAACUUUUAACUACCUUACACUCCAGAAAUUGGGAAUGUGUUUCUUUCUUUAGUUUGCUUCCAAAACAGAGAAAGUUGCUCAUACUGCAGAUAUGUUAUGAUUUGCAGAAUAUAAUAACUCAUCAUUUUAUCAUUAUUUAGCUAUCGCUUGCGUGUCUUCACAUUAACAUCUGCUAAGUGAAUCGUAUUGGUCGAUUGGUAUUCUGUGAAAUAGUUGAAUAUACUUUGAAUCAUGAUGGAAAGUGGUGUACUACUUGUUGUAGUCUUCUUAAUUCUUAGCAUUUGAUACUUACCACUUGACUGUUGAAGUGUAUUCUAUUCGAGCAUGUUACUGUGUCUACAUUCUUUAUGCAGAAUAUACCUUGUGCAUUUGGCCGCAGAUACAUGAAGAAGGGGUAAAAGUUUUAGAAAGAUGCUACCCUUCAGACCAAUAGUGCUAGCUGGCCGGUUGUAAUCCGCGAAUAUGAUAGACUUAAAUUUCGAAAUGGGUGGGGUGAAUUUGUACGUGCCAAUGAGCUACGUGUAGGAGAUGUUUGCCGUUUUGAGUUGAUUGAUGAGGAGGAAUUCAUAUUGAAAGUUUGCAUUAACCCAAGUCUCAAUGAAGUAUAGUCGAUAGAAAUAGAGACAAUUCCCUUUGAUUAGUUAGCUUAAUAUCUGGUUCAAAUGUUUCUACUUGAGAGGGGAUAGAUGUGAACUAAACAUUGUAUAAUUCAUUAUCGGAUUGAAGGUUGAUGUAUCUGAAGUUUAAAUUAAUGAAUAUACAUAAUU